CCAUUUUCUUGGCAGUCUUGAGAGCUGAGCUGUUUGUCCACAGUUCAGCGUUAGAUUUACAGGGGGACAAGAGGAGCUGUGUUUUACAAAACAAUGUUUUCACCACCAAUCUCCAAAGUCUGAGGAGUUUCCAACUUUGGGCUUUAUUUGUAUUUUAAAUUUAGCAUUUGCAGAUGUUUUAUAGGCAUCCAACUAUUUCAACAAAAUGAUCACUUGACAAUAUUAUAUUGCUGAGCCUUGAACUCUGUCCAGCUUGCUUUGUUUACAGAAGACCACCUGCAGCCAUGGUAUAUUUUGUGACCUUCUAUGGAGAAACAAAACUGUGAGUAGAGGAGCAUUACUCAGGUCUUUUUCAGUUCAUGAAUGAAGCCCACUACAACAUGUACAGCAGGGUAUUAGGAGGAGAUGAAUUAAUCAUGACACGCUACAGAGAACGAAGUGCUUGCCGUUCAUUUAACAGUCAAUCAAGUAUCUGAGAAACUAUAGGCCCCUUUGUGGUACGGGAGCACACGACUCCAUCCCAGUCCUACCAGCAGUGACUCAGUGGUGGGAGGCAUAAUGUCAUGGGUUAUUCCUGUUCAUUUGGCCUACUGCAAAUUUCCAUGAAACACCAAUGGAGGAAAAAAGAGCCCACUCCUGGGAUGAGCAAGGGUGAGCUGUGCCUUGCCAAAUGCUACGUGUAAUGUCAAUGCACAAGUACAUCUGCCCACCUUAUGUUCCUCCAACUUUGUGCAGAAAUUGAAUGCUGCCAAAGAAGCAGGGCUCUGCAGAAAAAUUGGAGAAAAAAAGAAAAUAAGGAAUUAAGAAGAAACAUUUAUCAGAAUUUCAAGGAAAACGUCCUUUCUUCCUGCAAAGCACAUAUUGGCCCCGAUUCUGCAACCCUUGUGGAUAUGAACAGCUACGCAAAAGGCAUCCAUAUCGGUGGGACCACAGCAGAAUGUCCCACAGGAUUGUUCACAAAGAGCCAUUUGCUGUGGAACAUGAUAUUGGGAGUACCUCUGAGGAUGGGCAUUCCCAUUUACCAUGAGCUACCAUGGGAGCAUUCCCCCACUGAGGUGGGUCUCUAGGCUGGCAUAUGCCUAAAGAAACAAGUCACCAUGAAGCAACACAAGCAGAGGCAAUAUGUGGUUUUUUUACUCUGCAAACAAAAGCAUACCAUGCAGCCAGCAUCCUCAGGCACUGCUGUCCCCACAGAGCUCCUGGAUGGACAAGAGGAGUUCCCUGGAGUGGAGGAAGGUAGGAAUGGAAAGUUUUCCUGAAUGUGUGUUCAUCCCUCUAUAACCAUCCAUACCUGGAGCCAGGGCACUGAAGGGAGCUGUGCUGAAUCACCCAGCUGGAACCUCCUUUUCUUUCGGCAUUUCAAAACCUAAGUGGACUUCCUAAAGGAGGCAUGUCUGGUCUCACACCGUGCUCCAGCAGCAGUGGCCAGAGAGCUCUGUUCUGCAAGGCAAAGCAUGUGUGCUCGCCACAUUGUCUUUCACGGUCUUCUUGUGGAAUCAGUGAGAAAUGUAUACUUUUGGUUCCAGAAGAGAACAUGAUCACAACAUUGGGAUUUCCCAUAGGACGGAAAUUCUGAUCCAUCCAUAUAAUCCCAUGAGGGACUCUUGUUCAUGACUAGGAAAUGUGGACUUGUUCCAAGUGCAGUACAGGCUCCAAAAGUCCCAAACCACCAGAAGCUCCCAGAGCCCCAAGAGCCCACAAUCAAAGUAAAAAGCAGAGGGCAACAGAUGGAUGGAGACAGAUGGAGAACCACAAAGAAACCAGGAGACACAACAGGUCAGCCUAAUAACAACCAUCUCAGUGGUUUCCUCUUCAGCUUGCACUCAGAUCUUGCAGACCUGUCUUCCUUAUGCUGUCUUUAACGCUUUCAUGUCUUGACACAACCAGAGAAACUCAUAUUUGACCAUCUUAAAAGGACCUUAUGUCUUGGUUGUACAACAGUCCUAGAUAGGAAUUUAAUUCACAUUUGCCUUCAUCCUGUGAGCUCAGAGGCUGAAAGAAUUAUUAUGAACAUUAUUUGGCCAACAGCAAGCGAAAAACCUUAUGACAGAAGAAAACAAAAGUCUGCUUUAAAAUUGUGAAAGUCUCUAUGGAGAGCAAAAGGGGGUGAAGGUGGCAAAAUAGCUGGCAGCAUAGGACACUCCAACAGCAGGAAAAUCUGAUCUUCCUUGUUAUGUGGCUUUAUUUUAGGGAACUCCGUCCUCUGAAAACCGGAAUCAGCCCUGGAGAUUUGUACAUUUUCUUUGAAUCAGUGCCUCCUCCAAAGAGCACAUGCAUGCCAGCAUUUGAAAGCAAUUAUGAGAGACAUUUUAAGAGGAAAUCGGGGACAUGUUGUGGAAAUGAAGGAAGAUAUUUCUCAUUCUUCUUUACUUCGUGGGUUAUAUUGCACAGACAGAUCUCACAUAGAAUGAAAUUCACUCCUGAGCAGAAAGUCAGCACAAGGCAAAUAGGUUUUGCUUAAGCCUGAGGGCUUAGAUGAGAGUUAAGUGGUGAACAGGUCCAGUGACGGCCUGCAGCACAAGUGUGCAUUUUAUUAAUCAAAGAUGUCUCAUUGUUCUGAGCCAGCGCUAUCCCACUAAUACAUCCAAUGCAACACUCAGACCUGUUUGAUGGGGUCUCAUUUUUGAAAGCCAGAAAUGUUAGAUGGGGAUAUUUCUGUUGUCUUCUAUUACAAAGAUAAGAGUCAGAUUUUGAAUUUUCUUAAAUUUGAUUUCAGUAAAAACCAGACUAGUGAGUUAUGCUUUUAACUAACUGCACUGUAUUAAAAGCUGCUUUAGUCCCUGCUCUUCAUAGAAGGUGUUCUUGCUUUCAACCACAUUGUUAAUUGUCUUUCAGUUGAAAUAUGUUCUUUACAGAUAUAAGAGAAGGAUAAUAGAGUUUUUUUCUUCGCAUCAAAGGAUUAUUUAGAGAAGUUUCUUGCCUAAUUCACCACUCCUUAAGUAAGAAAUCUGGGGUUUCAAUUUUAUUUCUUUUUCCCUUGUUCUGAUUUUUUUUUUUUUUAACAGAGACAAAGGCCUGGAUAAAUGCCUACCAGAGCGUGGUUAAAUGUAAAAAUUGGUUUGUUUACAACUCAUACCUGUUGCAUUGAAGAUUUCUAGCUCAACCUACCUAAUAAGACUUCUUCCAGUUGGAUUUUCAGUGAGGAAUAAAUGUGACAGAAAUCAGCCAAUGUACCACACUCAGGAAUCAAGCCCAUUAACAGCGAUGAGUUAAGAUGUCCUGCAGCUGAAGGGGGUUCUCUUGCCCCUUAAAGAGAUGCAUGCUCAGUUCCAGAUUUACCACAUCUUUCCAAGCAAAAAUGAGAGCCUUGAAACUAAAUGGAACCCCCAUCUGUGGAGGAGAUAGCUAUUGCAUUUUGCCCCACCUUUCCACAGCUUAUAUGAUCACAGAGAAGAGUGGCUUGGAAAUGACAGCAUUGUCUUGCGAUUCAGGGGAGGUGAAACCAAAUCUUCUCCAUGCCAUAUAUUUCCUUGUCAAAUCACCUGUUUCUCAGAGAGGGAGAAAAAUUUGGGUCUUUUUCUAAGUUGCUAGGUGAACGAUCAAGUGUUUAAGACUCUGAAUAAAUGAUGUGUGCCAUAAAAUAACAAAGAUAGAAUAAAUAGAAUUUAUCUUGUCAUGUGGCUUCUGCAAUAGGAUUAACUGGAGCACUCACUGUAGUUAAUAUGUAAUUAAUGUGUGGAUGGACUGUUGUCAGCUGUGUACAUGUUUGAUGUCAGC
ensembl:lncRNA